rnacentral:rRNA from 1 species
AAGCGUUGUCCGGAAUUAUUGGGCGUAAAGCGCGCGCAGGUGGUCUUUUAAGUCUGAUGUGAAAGCCCACGGCUCAACCGUGGAGGGUCAUUGGAAACUGGGGGACUUGAGUGCAGGAGAGAAGAGUGGAAUUCCACGUGUAGCGGUGAAAUGCGUAGAGAUGUGGAGGAACACCAGUGGCGAAGGCGGCAUCCUGGACCGGUAUUGACGCUGAGGCGCGAAAGCCAGGGGAGCAAACGGG